UGUCCAGUAGCACCUUAGAGACCAAGUUUUUUCUGGGUAUAAGCUUCCCUGUGCAUGCACACUUCUUCAGAUACCCAGAAAAAACUUAGUUGGUCUCUAAGGUGCUACUGGACA